rnacentral:rRNA from 1 species
GGAUCCAGACUUUGAUCAUGGCUCAGGAUGAACGCUAGCUACAGGCUUAACACAUGCAAGUCGAGGGGCAUCAGUUUGGUUUGCUUGCAAACCAAAGCUGGCGACCGGCGCACGGGUGAGUAACACGUAUCCAACCUGCCUCAUACUCGGGGAUAGCCUUUCGAAAGAAAGAUUAAUAUCCGAUAGCAUAUAUUUCCCGCAUGGGUUUUAUAUUAAAGAAAUUCGGUAUGAGAUGGGGAUGCGUUCCAUUAGUUUGUUGGCGGGGUAACGGCCCACCAAGACUACGAUGGAUAGGGGUUCUGAGAGGAAGGUCCCCCACAUUGGAACUGAGACACGGUCCAAACUCCUACGGGAGGCAGCAGUGAGGAAUAUUGGUCAAUGGACGCGAGUCUGAACCAGCCAAGUAGCGUGAAGGAUGACUGCCCUAUGGGUUGUAAACUUCUUUUAUAUGGGAAUAAAGUGGUCCACGUGUGGAUUUUUGUAUGUACCAUAUGAAUAAGGAUCGGCUAACUCCGUGCCAGCAGCCGCGGUAAUACGGAGGAUCCGAGCGUUAUCCGGAUUUAUUGGGUUUAAAGGGAGCGUAGGCGGAUUGUUAAGUCAGUUGUGAAAGUUUGCGGCUCAACCGUAAAAUUGCAGUUGAUACUGGCAGUCUUGAGUGCAGUAGAGGUGGGCGGAAUUCGUGGUGUAGCGGUGAAAUGCUUAGAUAUCACGAAGAACUCCGAUUGCGAAGGCAGCUCACUGGAGUGUAACUGACGCUGAUGCUCGAAAGUGUGGGUAUCAAACAGGAUUAGAUACCCUGGUAGUCCACACAGUAAACGAUGAAUACUCGCUGUUUGCGAUAUACAGUAAGCGGCCAAGCGAAAGCAUAAAGUAUUCCACCUGGGGAGUACGCCGGCAACGGUGCC